UAGGGAAUCUUCGGCAAUGGGGGGAACCCUGACCGAGCAACGCCGCGUGAGUGAAGAAGGUUUUCGGAUCGUAAAGCUCUGUUGUUAAGGAAGAACGAGUGUGAGACUGGAAAGUUCAUACUGUGACGGUACUUAACCAGAAAGGGACGGCUAACUACGUGCCAGCAGCCGCGGUAAUACGUAGGUGGCAAGCGUUGUCCGGAUUUAUUGGGCGUAAAGCGAGCGCAGGCGGUCAAUUAAGUCUGAUGUGAAAGCCCCCGGCUCAACCGGGGAGGGUCAUUGGAAACUGGUUGACUUGAGUGCAGAAGAGGAGAGUGGAAUUCCAUGUGUAGCGGUGAAAUGCGUAGAUAUAUGGAGGAACACCAGUGGCGAAGGCGACUCUCUGGUCUGUAACUGACGCUGAGGCUCGAAAGCGUGGGUAGCAAACAGG
rnacentral:rRNA from 1 species